rnacentral:rRNA from 1 species
ACAGCAGUAGCCGCGGUAAUACGAAGGGGGCUAGCGUUGUUCGGAAUUACUGGGCGUAAAGCGCACGUAGGCGGAUAUUUAAGUCAGGGGUGAAAUCCCAGAGCUCAACUCUGGAACUGCCUUUGAUACUGGGUAUCUUGAGUAUGGAAGAGGUGAGUGGAAUUCCGAGUGUAGAGGUGAAAUUCGUAGAUAUUCGGAGGAACACCAGUGGCGAAGGCGGCUCACUGGUCCAUUACUGACGCUGAGGUGCGAAAGCGUGGGGAGCAAACAGGAUUAGAUACCCCAGUAGUCCCUGUCUCUUAUAC